rnacentral:rRNA from 1 species
UAGGGAAUCUUCCGCAAUGGGCGAAAGCCUGACGGAGCAACGCCGCGUGAGUGAUGAAGGUCUUCGGAUCGUAAAACUCUGUUAUUAGGGAAGAACAAAUGUGUAAGUAACUAUGCACGUCUUGACGGUACCUAAUCAGAAAGCCACGGCUAACUACGUGCCAGCAGCCGCGGUAAUACGUAGGUGGCAAGCGUUAUCCGGAAUUAUUGGGCGUAAAGCGCGCGAAGGCGGUUUUUUAAGUCUGAUGUGAAAGCCCACGGCUCAACCGUGGAGGGUCAUUGGAAACUGGAAAACUUGAGUGCAGAAGAGGAAAGUGGAAUUCCAUGUGUAGCGGUGAAAUGCGCAGAGAUAUGGAGGAACACCAGUGGCGAAGGCGACUUUCUGGUCUGUAACUGACGCUGAUGUGCGAAAGCGUGGGGAUCAAACAGG